GGAAUUAAGCAUAUAACUAAGCGGAGGAAAAGAAACUAACCAGGAUUCCCCCAGUAACGGCGAGUGAAGCGGGAAGAGCUCAUGAUGUAAACCCGGCCCUCGGGUCGGGGUUGUAGUCUGGAGAGGCGUUGCCAGCCGGCGGCGGGGUCGAAGUCUCUUGGAAAAGAGCAUCAAGGAGGGUGACAAUCCCGUUCCGGUCCCCGCUCGUCGUGCGUACGGUGCGCUUUCUACGAGUCGAGUUGCUUGGGAUUGCAGCUCAAAGCGGGUGGUAAAUUCCAUCUAAAGCUAAAUACCGGUGGGAGACCGAUAGCGAACAAGUACCGUGAGGGAAAGAUGCAAAGAACUUUGAAAAGAGAGUUAAAGAGUGCCUGAAAUUGCUGAAAGGGAAGCGAAGGAAGCCAGUGUCUGGCGGUUCUGCUUCUCCGACGGUCUCCGGACCGUCGGGUUGCGCUUCCGCUGUUGCCAGGGCCGGGUCGGGCCGCGGGAAUCGGCGUCCCUGGGAGGUACGCCUCUUCGGAGGUGGAAUGCCGGGGUGCUCUCCGUCGCGGCCUUGGGCCGGUCCUGACAAAAUGGCUUUCUUCACCCCGUCUAAAACCACGGAA
rnacentral:rRNA from 1 species